ACACAAGUCGGAAUCUUAAAGGCCAGGGUAGGAAAAAUAGUUGACCAAUUGAUUCACAUUGCGAGUAUGAUGCUAUAUAUGACGUCAUAAUGACAAGACUGUGAUAGAUAGACACUAUAGAUAGAUAUGUGAUAAACAUAAAAACAUACCAAUAAGCAAUUUUACCUAUGUUUGUUCAAUCAAAAAGUAUAUUUAAUUUUUUUUAUGUCCAUGAUGCAUUCAUUUUAUGAACUAUUUAUACGUUGUUGUUUUUUUUCUUCAAAUUUUAAUUUUUUUUACCUCUUCAUGUGUAUGCGUCGUGCAAUACUGUUUAAAACUUGGAUGUCAAAAGGAAUCCACAGCUAGUUGUAUUGAUAGCGGAUCAUAGUUCACGUAAGUGUGAAACCGAACAAGAAAAAAUUAAAAAUGUAGUUUAAUCAAUUAGGAUAUGUAAUUUUUUCAAAAGUUACAUCAUUUCUUUUUGGUGAAUAUUUUGUAUGGAAAAAUAGUCUGAAUGUUCAUUUGAAUGCAUGAAUUAGAACUAUUAUAGUAAGAAACUUAGACUAAUUUAAUUAAAAUGCGUGAAUGAAGUAAGAUGUUUGUUCGUUCCUGGCAUAACCAUGAUUAUAUAUAUUAUGUAUACAAUGUUGACUAAUCUAACAGAAUUGUAAACCACAACUUGAUGGUACAUUGUACGUGAGGGAAAAUCUUCCCACAAGUAAUGUGCAAUGACAACCAAAAUAAAAACAGUUCAUGACUGACUAAUAUUC
rnacentral:sRNA from 1 species